GGAUUGUGGCUCAGUGGCAGAGCACAUGCUUAGCAUGGGCAGGACCUGGGUUCAAUUCUCAGCACCA
rnacentral:tRNA from 1 species